rnacentral:rRNA from 1 species
GACGAACCGUGCGAACGUUGUUCGGAAUCACUGGGCUUAAAGGGCGCGUAGGCGGGCCUCCCAGUCCGGGGUGAAAGCUUUCGGCUUAACCGGAAAAGUGCCUUGGAUACUGGAGGUCUGGAGGGAGGUAGGGGCAGUCGGAACUUCCGGUGGAGCGGUGAAAUGCGUUGAUAUCGGAAGGAACGCCGGUGGCGAAAGCGGACUGCUGGACCCUUUCUGACGCUGAGGCGCGAAAGCCAGGGGAGCGAACGGG